CUAAUGUAAACUUAAUAGACUACAAUAUAGUGUAAACGUAACUUUCAUAUGCACUGGGAAACCAAAAAUUCGUGUGACUCACUUUAUUGCAAUAUUCUCUUUAUUGCAGUGGUC